rnacentral:rRNA from 1 species
GCUUGCUGGAUGCUGACGAGCGGCGGACGGGUGAGUAAUGCAUAGGAAUCUGCCCGAUAGUGGGGGAUAACCUGGGGAAACCCAGGCUAAUACCGCAUACGUCCUACGGGAGAAAGGGGGCUCCGGCUCCCGCUAUGGGAUGAGCCUAUGUCGGAUUAGCUAGUUGGUGAGGUAACGGCUCACCAAGGCCACGAUCCGUAGCUGGUCUGAGAGGAUGAUCAGCCACAUCGGGACUGAGACACGGCCCGAACUCCUACGGGAGGCAGCAGUGGGGAAUAUUGGACAAUGGGGGCAACCCUGAUCCAGCCAUGCCGCGUGUGUGAAGAAGGCCCUCGGGUUGUAAAGCACUUUCAGCGAGGAAGAACGCCUAGCGGUUAAUACCCGCUAGGAAAGACAUCACUCGCAGAAGAAGCACCGGCUAACUCCGUGCCAGCAGCCGCGGUAAUACGGAGGGUGCAAGCGUUAAUCGGAAUUACUGGGCGUAAAGCGCGCGUAGGUGGCUUGAUAAGCCGGUUGUGAAAGCCCCGGGCUCAACCUGGGAACGGCAUCCGGAACUGUCAAGCUAGAGUGCAGGAGAGGAAGGUAGAAUUCCCGGUGUAGCGGUGAAAUGCGUAGAGAUCGGGAGGAAUACCAGUGGCGAAGGCGGCCUUCUGGACUGACACUGACACUGAGGUGCGAAAGCGUGGGUAGCAAACAGGAUUAGAUACCCUGGUAGUCCACGCCGUAAACGAUGUCGACCAGCCGUUGGGUGCCUAGCGCACUUUGUGGCGAAGUUAACGCGAUAAGUCGACCGCCUGGGGAGUACGGCCGCAAGGUUAAAACUCAAAUGAAUUGACGGGGGCCCGCACAAGCGGUGGAGCAUGUGGUUUAAUUCGAUGC